rnacentral:rRNA from 1 species
UACGUAGGGGGCAAGCGUUGUCCGGAUUUAUUGGGCGUAAAGCGCGCGUAGGCGGCCCUGUAAGUCCGUUGUGAAAGUCAAAGGCUCAACCUUUGAAAGCCGAUGGAUACUGCAGGGCUAGAGUCCGGAAGAGGCGAGUGGAAUUCCUGGUGUAGCGGUGGAAUGCGCAGAUAUCGUAAGGAAGACCAGUGGCGAAGGCGGGUCUCUGGACAGUUCCUGACGCUGAGGCACGAAGGUCAGGGGAGCAAACGGG